rnacentral:tRNA from 1 species
CCGAUAUAGCUCAGUUGGUAGAGCGGCGCAUUCGUAAUGCGUAGGUCGCAGGUUCAAAUCCUGUUGUCGG